GGUGAACGUAGCAGGUGCUUGCAGUUUUCCUAGCUUCUGGUUUCUGAAAGUGCUUAGUUUAGUAGCUGUGGUGUACGGAAUAAGAGUGGAAGUCUUCCGAGCAUCUUAUGCUCCCUUCAUGAUGUGUUCCAGGUGGAUUGUUUCUCAGGCUCCUCUCCUUUAUGCCACCUCCCAGGAGGAGGUAACCACAGGGGAUGGUGAGCAACGUAAAAGCAGUGACUGCAUCUGCCGGCUGCCUGGUGUCAUCUCUGCCUGGCACUGUGCCUGCCACAGUGGGUGUUUGUUGAGCAAACAAAGGAGUCUUUCUUUCUACCUCCUUUAACUUUGGCCAAGUCUAUCUGGCUCAUCAGCCCCAGUGAUGAUGACAGGUGUUUGGUGAGCUUCCAAACAGACUACUCAUGAAGUACAGCAGGUGAUUGGGCAGCUGAGCUCGGCUGGAG
rnacentral:lncRNA from 1 species